CGGUAAUUCUAUCUCCAAUAGCGUAUAUUAAAGUUGUUGCAGUUAAAAAGCUCGUAGUUGAACCUUGGACCUGGCUGGCCGGUCCGCCUCACCGCGUGUACUGGACCGGCCGGCCCUUUCCUUCUGGACAGCCGCAUGGCCUUCACUGGCCGUGUCGGGAAACCAGAACUUUUACUUUGAACAAAUUAGAGUGUUUAAAGCAGGCCUUUGCUCGAAUACAUUAGCAUGGAAUAAUAGAAUAGGACGUGCGAUCCUAUUUUGUUGGUUUCUAGAACCGCCGUAAUGAUUAAAAGGAAUAGUCGGGGGCAUCAGUAUUCAAUUGUCAAAGGUGAAAUUCUUGAAUUUAUUGAAAACUAACUACUGCAAAAGCAUUUGCCAAAGAUGUUUUCAUUAAUCAGAGAACGAAAGUUAGGGCAUCGAAGACGAUCAGAUACCGUCGUACUCUUAACCAUAAACUAUGACUACUAAUCAUCGGUGGAUGUUACUAUUAUGACUCCAUCGGCCCCUUACGAGAAAUCAAAGUUUUUGGAUUUUGGGGGGAGUAUGGUCGCAAGACUGAAACUUAAAGAAAUUGACGGAAGGGCCCCACCAGGCGUGGAACCUGCGGCUUAAUUUGACUCAACCCGGGGAAACUCUCCAGGUCCAGACACAAUAAGGAUUGACAGAUUGAGAACUCUUUUUUGAUUUUGUGGGUGGUGGUGCAUGGCCGUUUUUAGUUGGUGGAGUGAUUUGUUUGGUUAAUUUCGAUAACGAACGAGACCUUAACCUGCUAAAUAUCCAGACCCGCUUUGGCGGUUCGCCGGCUUCUUAGAGGGACUAUCGGCUCAAUCCGAUGGAACUUUGAGGCAAUAACAGGUCUGUGAUGCCCUUAGAUGUUCUGGGCCGCACGCGCGCUACCCUGACAGAGCCAACGAGUUUUUUUCCUUGGCCGGAAGGUCUGGGUAAUCUUGUUAAACUCUGUCGUGAUGGGGAUAGAUCAUUGCAAUUAUUGCUCUUCAACGAGGAAUUCCUAGUAAGCGCAUGUCAUCAGCAUGCGUUGAUUACGUCCCUGCCCCUUGUACACACCGCCC
rnacentral:rRNA from 1 species